rnacentral:lncRNA from 1 species
CAGAGCAUAUUCCAAAAAAAAAAGGGCCAAAAUGUGGUAAAUCGUCUAUAUUCUUUGUUCUUCAUUAUUAUCCAUUUAUCAUUAUAAAAAAAAUCGAAAAAAAAGAGUUAUAAGAAGAAAAAAAAAAUAUAAAAAAAGGAUCUCAUUGUUAAAGAUUGUGAUUCAAAAAAAAAAAAAAAAAAAAAAGAAAAGUUCUAUUUUUUUUCUUGCCACACUCUUAAAAUUCUCCUUGUUUCCUUUGUUUUAGAGUCUCUUUUUUUUGUUUGCUGUUUUUUGUGUGUUGAUUAUCAUCUGAAAUUGAUUUCUUUGUGUUGAUUCAUUUUGGUUUCUCUAAAGAACUAAAAGAGCAAAUUGAGUGGUAAAAGGCAGAGUGUUUUUAUUAGUAAAAAAAAAGCCAAAAGAAAAUAAAAAUUGAGUAAAACACGAGUGAUUGAGUGUAAACACGUGAGUAGAGUGGUAAGGUCCAUUUUUAAACACUUGUUCCUAAUUUCACAAAUAUUUCACAAUUAUGUCUAGUCCACCUUC